rnacentral:rRNA from 1 species
CCUACGGGAGGCAGCAGUAGGGAAUAUUGCUCAAUGGGGGAAACCCUGAAGCAGCAACGCCGCGUGGAGGAUGAAGGUUUUAGGAUUGUAAACUUCUUUUGUGAGAGAAGAUAAUGACGGUAUCUAACGAAUAAGCACCGGCUAACUUCGUGCCAGCAGCGGCGGUAAUACGGAGGGUGCAAGCGUUAUUCGGAAUCACUGGGCGUAAGGGGUGCGCAGGCGGGCUUGUAAGUCAGAUGUGAAAUCCUGUAGCUUAACUACAGAACUGCAUUUGAAACUAUGAGUCUAGAGUGUGGGAGAGGUAGGUGGAAUUCGUGGUGUAGGGGUGAAAUGCGUAGAUAUCAAGAGGAAUACUCAUUGCGAAGGCGACCUACUGGAACAUUACUGACGCUGAUGCACGAAAGCGUGGGGAGCAAACAGGAUUAGAUACCCCAGUAGUC